rnacentral:rRNA from 1 species
UACGUAGGGUGCGAGCGUUGUCCGGAAUUAUUGGGCGUAAUGAGCUUGUAGGCGGUUUGUCGCGUCUGCCGUGAAAAUUCGAGGCUCAACCUCGAACUUGCGGUGGGUACGGGCAGACUAGAGUGUGGUAGGGGAGACUGGAAUUCCUGGUGUAGCGGUGAAAUGCGCAGAUAUCAGGAGGAACACCGAUGGCGAAGGCAGGUCUCUGGGCCACUACUGACGCUGAGAAGCGAAAGCAUGGGGAGCGAACAGG